rnacentral:rRNA from 1 species
UACGUAGGGCGCAAGCGUUGUCCGGAAUUAUUGGGCGUAAAGAGCUCGUAGGCGGUGUGUCACGUCGGCCGUGAAAACCUGCAGCUUAACUGUGGGUGUGCGGUCGAUACGGGCAUCACUGGAGUUCGGCAGGGGAGACUGGAAUUCCUGGUGUAGCGGUGAAAUGCGCAGAUAUCAGGAGGAACACCGGUGGCGAAGGCGGGUCUCUGGGCCGAUACUGACGCUGAGGAGCGAAAGCGUGGGGAGCAAACAGG